AUGAUAGAGGACUGUUCUGCACAGUCAAUAGCACCACUGGAAAAGAAAAUGCAGGUUCAUGCUCUGCAACAUGAGACAGUUACUCUCUCCUGCAGGUAUGAUGGUAACGUGUACAAUCUGCAGUGGUAUCGUCAGUAUCCUGGAUCCAGACCAGAGCAUUUACUGAUGAUAUUUCCAGAGUCAAAAGAUGUGAUCCAUGCAGAUCCUCCUUUCCCACGACUGAAUGCUACAGCAGAUAAAAGUACAGUGGAUCUGUUGAUCUCCUCUGCUACAGUAUCAGACUCUGCUCUCUACUACUGCGCCCUGCAGCCCACAGUGACAGGAAACCCAGUUACUCUGUACAAAAACACAGGAUGA